GAUGAAGAACGCAGUGAAAUGCGAUAAGUAAUGUGAAUUGCAGAAUUCAGUGAAUCAUCGAAUCUUUGAACGCACAUUGCGCCCAUUAGUAUUCUAGUGGGCAUGCCUGUUCGAGCGUCAUUAAGUCCACUUAAGCCCUGCUUAGUGUUGGGAGACUGCUCCAGCGGUGCUACCCUGUAGCUACCCUGCAGCCCCUCAAAGACAGCGGCGGAGUUGUGGUAUCCUCUGAGCUUAGUAACUUGUUCUAGCUUUCGAGUACACCACUUCCCCUGCCGUAAAACCCUUAAUUUUUAAUGGUUGACCUCGGAUCAGGUAGGAAUACCCGCUGAACUUAAGCAUAUCAAUAAGCGGAGGA
rnacentral:misc_RNA from 1 species